UACGUAGGGUGCGAGCGUUAAUCGGAAUUACUGGGCGUAAAGGGUGCGCAGGCGGUUAUAUAAGACAGAUGUGAAAUCCCCGGGCUCAACCUGGGAACUGCGUUUGUGACUGUAUGACUAGAGUGUGUCAGAGGGGGGUAGAAUUCCACGUGUAGCAGUGAAAUGCGUAGAUAUGUGGAGGAAUACCGAUGGCGAAGGCAGCCCCCUGGGAUAACACUGACGCUCAUGCACGAAAGCGUGGGGAGCAAACAGG
rnacentral:rRNA from 1 species